rnacentral:rRNA from 1 species
ACUCCUACGGGAGGCAGCAGUGGGAAUAUUGCACAAUGGGGAAAGCCCAUCGAUGCAGCCAUGCCGCGCUGUGUGAAGAAGGCCAAUUCGGGGCUUUGGUUAAAGACACUUUCAGUAGGGAGGAAGGUAGUGUAGUUAACACCUGCAUUAUUUGACGUUACCUACAGAAGAAGCACCGGCUAACUCCGUGCCAGCAGCCGCGGUAAUACGGAGGGUGCGAGCGUUAAUCGGAAUUACUGGGCGUAAAGCGCAUGCAGGCGGCCUGUUAAGUCAGAUGUGAAAGCCCGGGGCUUAACCUCGGAAUUGCAUUUGAAACUGGCAGGCUAGAGUCUUGUAGAGGGGUG